GUAGCUACACCUACAAACCAGAGGAAGGACCAGUGAGUGGCUCAGCUGCCGACAGAAUCUGAUGCCCAUCUACAAAUCCCAACACUGUAAACCCAGCAUCGAUGUAAUGUUUCCCACUUAAUGUUGAAAGCAUUUUAUUGACUAGUGCUCUAGCAUUGAAGAAAUGCAUUAAAUCAAUUAAGGCCAACAGGGGUUGGGGGACUUCUGAUGAUCAAGUAAUGGUUAAACUUAGUUGUUUUUUUUUUCCUCAUUACCAUGGGAAACCUUUAUUGUCUACAGCCUCUCCCUAGCCUCUAUCCACUUUACUACCUUUAAAGUUAACCACGCCCCUUUUUAUAAUAGGAUAAUAUAGGUAGAUAAUUAAGAAUAAUAAGCAGUUAUUUAGUUCCAGGAUUAUUAAAUUCUGGCAAUCAAUGUUAGAGAACAAAAAGCAAUUGUACAAACGGGAUAGAUUAUGCACAGGCAGAAAAUUGUACAUUCCCGGUUAAAUGUAUUGGCUCAUGUUUGUGUUCUUAGCAUGUAGGAAGCUGAGGUAGGAAGACGUCACUGAGUCUAAGGCCACUCUGUGCUGCACAUUGAGCUCCUGGCUUACAGAGUAAGACCCAGACGGGUCAAGGACACCACAAGCAAACCCUUAGGGGCUCACUGAGACCGAAACAAUAGUCAGGGAGUCUGCAUAGGUCUAACCUAGGCCCUCUGCAUAUAUUCUGUAGUUGUGCAGCUCAGUGUUGUGUGGGACUCCUAAUAGAGGGAGCAGCAGCUACUUCUGACACUUUUUCCUGUUUUGUGACCCAGGGGUGGGGAGAGGGACUGGGAAAAGAGGAGGCAGGGAAAACUGGUGUCUGGAUAAAAUAUGAGAGAACAAAUUAAUAAAAAUAUCAAAACCCCUCAGAGCAAUACUAAUUAAAACUAAGAUAGCACAUUCCCAUUGUCUCACUGUGUGGGGGCCCUCUUCCGAACAGCCCGAAAACUCACUGCUUCUGCUCCACCCAAGGAUAGCUGCAGAUAAGGUUUUGUUGACUUGCUCUUUGGCCUAGGACAUCUGGUCUGUGCUGCUCUGUGCUCUGAUAACAGUGAGGCUCAUUGUGAAACUGGCAUCAGCUUCAGCAGCAAGGGAGAGCUUUGUUUUCAUUCUCCUCUUACCAAAUGCUUCUGGGGCAUCUAAUGUGCACCACCAAUGUCACAAUUCAUUUUAAAACACCACGGUAGCACCAGCAUUUUGUAAAUGUGCCAAUCAAAUGCCAUUUCCAAUAAUGCCAGUGAAUUCCAAUGUGGAGUAAGAGAGAUUAGACAGCACAUGGCGCUGGCUUAAAGCACUAACAGGCUUGUACUGACUGUCACACACAGGAUCCUGUUUUCACCACUUGUCCCAGUGUGUUGAGAUCUUGGUGGAAGGAUCUGGGUGUGAGUGGGAAGGUCUCGUAACGAGGAAUGGGAGAGAUGAAGAUAGCUUUCAAGUUGGAGUCCAUGACCUCUUUAAUUUACCUAGCACCUAGCUUCAUGGCUGACAGGAAAUACGGCCUUCCCUAGAAAUCCCCAAAGAAGCGGGAAGCAAUUAGCUCAUCCGCCCACCCCCAAACAGCUGUGACGCCAGCCAACCAUCCAUUUUCCAAGGCAGCAAGUCCGCCAACAACAUAAGAACCUAACUCCCCAGGCUGUACUUACAAAUCCAGUGAGGGCUGACUCCUGUCUGGGGUGACUCUUCGCUGCUGGGCUUGAGGUUGCUGAGAAAUGAUUAAAGAUGAUUUAUUGUCAGAAGGGGGUACCUUGUGAUGGAAGUCAAGGGGAUGAGAGACAGUGCUGCAGUAAUGAACAGAUUUCUCCGCAAUGUUUAUGAUCUCAUUGCAAACCGCUUCCUGUGAGGUGGCCCCGCGGUAUCCAGAAACCCCCAUAAAACAGUCAAUGUGGGGACAAAAAAAAAAAAAAAAAAAA